rnacentral:rRNA from 2 species
CUCGUGUCGUGAGAUGUUGGGUUAAGUCCCGCAACGAGCGCAACCCUUAAGCUUAGUUGCCAUCAUUAAGUUGGGCACUCUAAGUUGACUGCCGGUGACAAACCGGAGGAAGGUGGGGAUGACGUCAAGUCAUCAUGGCCCUUACGGCCUGGGCUACACACGUGCUACAAUGGUCGGUACAAAGGGUUGCCAAGCCGCGAGGUGGAGCUAAUCCCAUAAAACCGAUCGUAGUCCGGAUCGCAGUCUGCAACUCGACUGCGUGAAGUCGGAAUCGCUAGUAAUCGUGAAUCANAAGUUGUUCUCAGUUCGGAUUGUAGUCUGCAACUCGACUAUAUGAAGCUGGAAUCGCUAGUAAUCGUAGAUCAGCAUGCUACGGUGAAUACGUUCCCGGGUCUUGUACACACCGCCCGUCACACCACGAGAGUUUGUAACACCCGAAGCCGGUGGAGUAACCAUUUGGAGCUAGCCGUCGAAGGUGGGACAAAUGAUUGGGGUGAAGUCGUAACAAGGUAGCCGUAUCGGAAGGUGCGGCUGGAUCACCUCCUUUCU